rnacentral:Y_RNA from 1 species
GGCUGGUCCAAAAAUAGUAAGUUAUCUCAGUUGAUUGUUCACAGUCAGUUAUAGACUGAAACUACUCUUUCCCCCUCCUCACUACUGCACUUAACUAAUCUUUA